rnacentral:rRNA from 1 species
GACAGAGGUCCCAAGCGUUAGGCGGAAUCACUGGGCUUAAAGCGUGUGUAGGCGGACUUGUAAGUACCUUGUGAAAUCCCACGGCUCAACCGUGGAACUGCUGGGUAUACUGCGAGUCUUGAGCCACCUAGGGGCGAGCGGAACAAGUGGUGGAGCGGUGAAAUGCGUAGAUAUCACUUGGAACGCCAAUGGGUGAAAACAGCUCGCUGGGGGGUGUGCUGACGCUGAGACACGAAAGCCAGGGGAGCAAACGGGG